rnacentral:rRNA from 1 species
UACGAAGGGUGCAAGCGUUACUCGGAAUUACUGGGCGUAAAGCGUGCGUAGGCGGUUUGUUAAGUCCGUUGUGAAAGCCCUGGGCUCAACCUGGGAAUUGCAGUGGAUACUGGCAAGCUAGAGUACGGUAGAGGAUGGUGGAAUUCCCGGUGUAGCGGUGAAAUGCGUAGAGAUCGGGAGGAACACCCGUGGCGAAGGCGGCCAUCUGGACCAGUACUGACGCUGAGGCACGAAAGCGUGGGGAGCAAACAGGG